rnacentral:rRNA from 1 species
UACGGAGGGUGCAAGCGUUAUCCGGAUUCACUGGGUUAAAGGGUGCGUAGGUGGGUUGGUAAGUCAGUGGAUGAAAUCUCCGUGCUUAACAUGGAAACUGCCAUUUAGAUACUACUGAUCGUUGGAAAUUUUCAGGAGGUAAGCGGAAUAUGUCAUGUAGCGGUGAAAUGCUUAGAUAUGACAUAGAACACCAAUUGCGAAGGCAGCUUACUACAGGAAUAUUGACACUGAUGCACGAAAGCGUGGGGAUCAAACAGG